AUGGCCGACGCGGGUUAAAGUGUAGUAUCUGGUCUUAUCAGCUUAAUAUCUGAUACGGGUUUAUUUUUGACUAAAUAUAAUAAACUUAUUUUUGCAAGUGGACGGAGUGCUUGAAGCCUGCUUCACGAGCUCCGCCGCGGAUCGGCCCGGUAUUGCACUAUCUUCGGGAUCGGCCCACGAUUU